AGCGAACAUUGGCGGUAGGCUUAACACAUGCAAGUCGAGCGAGGCGUAAUAGUCGAGCGGCGAACGGGUGCGUAAUACAUGGGAAUCUACCCUGAAGUGGGGGAUAACGUUCAGAAAUGGACGCUAAUACCGCAUAAUCCACAUUGGGAAAGCGUUGCAGCGCUUAAGGAUGAGCCCAUGGCUGAUUAGCUAGUUGGUGAGGUAAUGGCUCACCAAGGCGACGAUCAGUAGCUGGUCUGAGAGGAUGACCAGCCACACUGGAACUGAGAUACGGUCCAGACUCCUACGGGAGGCAGCAGUGGGGAAUCUUGCGCAAUGGGGGCAACCCUGACGCAGCCAUACCGCGUGAGUGAUGAAGGUCUUCGGAUUGUAAAGCUCUUUCGGCGGGGACGACGAUGACGGUACCCGCAAAAGAAGUCACGGCUAACUUCGUGCCAGCCGCCGCCGUAA
rnacentral:rRNA from 1 species